rnacentral:rRNA from 1 species
UACAGAGGUCUCAAGCGUUGUUCGGAUUCAUUGGGCGUAAAGGGUGCGUAGGCGGCGCGGUAAGUCGGGUGUGAAAUCUUGGAGCUUAACUCCGAAACUGCAUUCGAUACUGCCGCGCUUGAGGACUGGAGAGGAGACUGGAAUUUACGGUGUAGCGGUGAAAUGCGUAGAUAUCGUAAGGAAGACCAGUGGCGAAGGCGG